AGCAGAGCACUCCUACGGGAGGCAGCAGUGAGGAAUAUUGGACAAUGGCGGGAGCCUGAUCCAGCCAUGCCGCGUGCAGGAAGACUGCCCUAUGGGUUGUAAACUGCUUUUGUACAGGAAGAAACACUCCCUCGUGAGGGAGCUUGACGGUACUGUAAGAAUAAGGAUCGGCUAACUCCGUGCCAGCAGCCGCGGUAAUACGGAGGAUCCAAGCGUUAUCCGGAAUCAUUGGGUUUAAAGGGUCCGUAGGUGGAUGAUUAAGUCAGAGGUGAAAUCCUGCAGCUCAACUGUAGAAUUGCCUUUGAUACUGGUUGUCUUGAAUUAUUGUGAAGUAGUUAGAAUAUGUGGUGUAGCGGUGAAAUGCAUAGAUAUCACAUAGAAUACCGAUUGCGAAGGCAGAUUACUAACAAUACAUUGACACUGAUGGACGAAAGCGUGGGGAGCGAACAGGAUUAGAUACCCUGGUAG
rnacentral:rRNA from 1 species